GUGGGUAUAGUUCAGUGGUAGAGCCCAUGCUUAGCAUUCAUGAGGUCUUGGGUUUGAUCCCUGGUACCUCCA
rnacentral:tRNA from 1 species